AAUUAAGAAUAUUUGACUUAAAUUACAAAUAAAAAUUAUUAAAUAUUUUAUUUUCCUAAAUAAAAAUAAGAGUUUUUGAAUCUGUGCAUCAUUUACAAGAAACGCCUCAAGCGACCAAGACUAGAGAACGUGACGUCACGAUGUAUUAUAUGUAAUGUCUUGUCUUUUGGUCUUGUCAUUCCGAAAAAGAUUUUGGCGCGUUUCAUUCGCAGGUUUCAUUAAUAUUUAUAUGAUUAAUUCGUGUCCAAGGUGCACUUUACCGAAAAAACACAUGGAAAUUGGUUUUAUUAAAGCUGACAGUGCAAAUUUGCCAAAAAUUGAGUCUUUUAUGAUCGCAAAUUUCUUUGCCUCAAACCCGGACUUUUGUUCUGCAGAAUUUAGGAACGCGGAAACUUCAUUAUCAUCAAGACAGUUGUAUGGUGAUGAUGCUAAUUCAUAUGCUAACUCAAAUCCUAAAACAUCAAGCUGAUUACAAAGUGCCCGACAUUCUUCAGUUCUCGAUGCAUUAUUAGAGCAUCAAGUAUAAGAAAGGAAGUGACUGUGAAACGUUUUUAGCCAAAAUUAAUGGUGUUUUUACACAAGAAAAUAUAAAUUUUGUGGAAAGUCUGACCCGAGCACAACACAAAACUCAAGCAUGGCAUGAGUUAAGGAAUAAAAGCAUCAAAAGCAUUUGAUGUUUCACGAUGCAAAACAACUGUUGGAUCCUUGGUUGCCUUAAUAAUGGGAGCUAAAGUACCAGAUACUCCAAC
rnacentral:lncRNA from 1 species